rnacentral:tRNA from 1 species
UUGACAGGUCAGUCGGUAGAGCACGAGACUCUUAAUCCCAGGGUCAUGGGUUCAAGUCUCACAUUGGGUAAA